rnacentral:tRNA from 4 species
GCCGCAGUAGCUCAGCUGGUAGAGCAACGCAUUCGUAAUGCGUGGGUCGGGGGUUCAAGUCCCUCCUGCGGCACCA